GUCUCUCCCCCUCGCCAGCGGUCCUUUCUUAUCGGUCGCUCCACUCACAGAGUCGAUCAUAGGGCGAUGGAAGACUCUCAAUACUCGUCGCUAGCCACCUUCAGAUACUCACGAUUCCUUCCACCUCCUUCCUACCUUCUCCCACAAUCCCAAUUAAUAUUUUUUUUUGCCUUUGGGUUCAAAGCCAAAAAAGUAGAGAUCCAGCGGCCA
rnacentral:lncRNA from 1 species